rnacentral:misc_RNA from 1 species
UGAAUACAUGACUUUGUUAACACAUAUUAUUCUAGUAUAAUUUACACAAAAUGAAAGUGAAUUUUUAUUUCUCUGUCUAAAUUCGUGUUUAUUUAAUAAAAGCCGGUCAACAGAAUCCUGAGAAAUGUGCACAUCCUGAAAGUUCGUUAGAUCAUUUUAACUACUAUACGAAUGAUGUUCAAAUUUGUUGAGAGUUAACUACCUGUGUCGUCGCCAGCUGUGGUUAUUCGUUCCCGAUUCACGUCAAUAUAUUCCACCUAUGGGAAAGUUGGUCUAGACUGACGUAACAUCCAAGUCCAUUGAAGUCGAGUGGCAUCCACGGCCACUACACAGUUCAGUGCUGCUGUUGCUGGAAAAUGUACCGCCCCACUUCUGUUUCCGUCACCAGUUCAUGACCAGAUAAUAAAACAGCUCAGUGAACAAUAUAUAUAAUUAUGAUAUCCAGUGCAAGCCCUUUAUCUAUCGAAAUCGUGUUAUACACAAAUCGAUCAUGAAGAAGAUGACCUUUAAGAAAGGGGAGUUCCAGUUCUACAAAAAGAAAUGAAAACAUUCACUUUUAAUAAGUUAGAUCUUAUUACAACACGCACGACUCUUGUUGGGCUCUAAUCUUCAAACCGUUAAAGAGAGCACUUGUGUUUUAUGUUAUUACAGCUCAAACAAACGCCAACCGGUAGAGCUAACAACCCUCGUUACAUCAAUAAACAAAACGCCUUCAUUUCAGGAAGAAUCGUCAACCUAUACCGUAACCAUCUUGUUUCACGGAAGAGUGUUGUACACUAAGAUCUCUCCUCGAAAUCAUGAUUUUUGUCUGACGUACAAGAAAACCCACAACAGGUAACAGCAAGACAGAUUACUGUUAGGGUUCAUUCUGCAACUGUCAGUUCGAUCAACCUUAGAGUAAUACAAAGACAGGAUUGUCUUAGUUUGUUUCACACAAAGAACUGGGCAAUGACUUGAAGAAAAAAAAAAGUACCUCUGUGAUCGAUCUACUACCAAACUGGUCUAGAGGUUUUUCAGUGUUAGUCGAAACGAGGGAUCAUAUGCUGAUCACUCAAUAAGAUUACUGACCACUUGAGAAAACCGUAGGAGAUAAAUUAAAAUCCAUGAACGAGAGCGGUAUCUACCUGGACAUACAUUCCGCUUCCGGCGUACAGAGAAAAAAUGACAAGUUACGGUCAACUACACAUGUCAUAUUUUAUCUGGAUUCAAACAAUACAUUGGAACUAACAACAGCAAAUGCUUCUGAUGAGAUUUCGUUAACAGGAGAAAUGAAUUUGACGAAACUUCAUGAGAACAAAACCAUGGAAAACAUUGUAGAAUCAAUGACGGUUACCAACAAUACGUCCUCUAAUUUAAUCGACGGAUAUAACUGGCUAAGCUUACUUCUUCUGAUGUUUGUUAUUUCAGGGGUCUUAGGAAACGUGCUAGUCUGUCUCGCGAUAUGUCGAGAACGUCGUCUCCAGAACGUCACUAAUUAUUUCCUGUUGUCGCUUGCUGUGGCUGACCUACUUGUCUGUAUGGUAGUCAUGCCAUUCGGGAUAGUGGAUCAGCUAUUUGGUUAUUGGCCCAUUGGAUCUUCGGCCUGUAAUGUCUGGGUAACAUCUGACGUUCUUGGUUGUACCUCGUCUAUUAUUCACAUGUGUUUUAUCUCACUUGGCCGCUACUUGGGGAUUCGCAAUCCCCUCAAAACUCGCGGAACCUCCAAAAAGGUCGUUACGAUGAAAAUUGCUAUAGUAUGGUUGGUUUCCAUGGUAAUAACGAGUCCAAUCACAGUGCUUGGAAACAUUGACUCUGAAAAUAUACACUCAACAAAUUAUACUUGUGCUAUAAAUAACCGCUUUUUCUUUGUAUUUGGUUCGUUGUCUGCCUUCUAUAUUCCCAUGUUCGUUAUGGUGACAUCCUAUGUCUUAACAGUCCGCUUACUGCAACAAAAGGCUAAGUACUGCGCAGAAAAAUCCAGUCGAAGGGUGCCCUUCAUUAACCGAUCUCGAAGGCACUCAUUACAAGAAACAUCAACCAACCCCCUUGGUACCACCUCCAAGAAAGAAAGCAAUACGUGCAACAAGUGUGGCGCUCGUCAACAUCAGGACAUGCAUGAAGAAGAAACAUUCCUAGAGCCUCAUCACGGAAACUCACGUGUAAGUUACGUAGACUUUCAUGGUUCCCUGAACAGGCAAAAUAACAUAAAAUUCAAAGUAAUAGGAGGAAUGAUUUGUGCUCUAGGUACCAGUUCGCAGGUGAUGAAUGAACAAAAGGCGACCAAAGUUCUUGGAAUUGUUUUCUUCUGCUUUGCUAUUUGUUGGACUCCCUUCUUUACGUUAAAUAUUCUGUUUCCAUUCAUAGACCCCACAACUUUUCCCGACUACCUCACAACUACUUUCCUGUGGUUGGGUUACGUGUCAUCCACUAUUAACCCUAUCAUUUAUACCAUCUUCAACAAAAAAUUUAGAAGAGCUUUCUGGAGACUCUUGUCGUGCACAUGUUGUUUAAACAACGUUAGGUCUCCCACCAUUAACGAAAUGGCUACAUGGCCAACAAAGUCUACACCUUUUGUAGUCAAAAGUGAUCCUCCGCCUGCUAGUCGCAUAGAACCAAUAUACUGAAUGUACUCAAUACUCUCUGCCUUGUCCUUAUCAAUAUAUUUAUUUUGCAUUAGAGCCAUCUUCCGCUUAUGCAGUAAAGAGAAGUAAUGCGAAUGUUUGCAUUAGAGCCAUCUUCCGCUUAUGAAGUAAAGAGAAGUAAUGCGAAUGUUUGCAUUAGAGCCAUCUUCCGCUUAUGCAGUAAAGAGAAGUAGUGCGAAUGUUUGCAUUACAGCCAUCUUCCGCUUAUGCAGUAAAGAGAAGUAAUGCGAAUGUAGUAAAAUCAGUUCUUCUCUCCCACGAAUUGCAGAAUAAAUCUGUUGAAAACAACUGAACGACUUACAACCUCCAAAUCCCAAUGUCCAGAACGUAUUCUCACAUUCCAAUCACACACAGUCAGUUUUCAACGUUUGAUAACUUAGUAAUUCAUUGCACGACGUAGUAAUGUAAUGUUUGUGUUGUAUUUUCACGGUUUCUUAAAGCUUAAGAAAAGAACAUUUAUGCACCUUUCUUGAACGUGAUUUUGUGAAGAUAUAAAGGACCAGCUUGGCAAAUUUUAUGUUUGAAAACUUUCCUUCAAGUUGGCAGCUUCUGUCCCAGUACAAUGAAAUACAAAAUACUCGGAAUAAAUAAUACUUUUAGGCUAGUGAGCAGUUGAAAGUGUAAGACUGAAAAAUUUCCAUCACAGAAAAUAUUGUUAUUCUAGCUAUAAAAGUUAAAAAAAUAUUAACAUUUAUUUAUAUUAAAAACGAUGGAAUAAUUGAUUCGGAAUAUUUAGAAGAGCUACACGAUAGAACAGCAAAGAGCUGGCAACAUUUUUGUAAAUAUGGAAUAAGAAAAAAGUUAUUGUUCUAGCCAUAUCAUGUUAAAAUAUCUAUAUGUACAGGUUUAGUCAUCAGAAUAACCUUAACAUGAUAAGACUGCUGAAAUUACAGCCUGCAAGUCAUAAACUACUUGAAUCUAUUAUA